rnacentral:pre_miRNA from 1 species
UCCAUGGCUCACCCAGUACUCAGUGUAAGGUCUGUGUGAUCAAAGUACAGCUACAUCUGAUUACUGGGUCAGUAAUGACAUUA